rnacentral:rRNA from 1 species
CAAUUAAAACUUUCAACAACGGAUCUCUUGGUUCUGGCAUCGAUGAAGAACGCAGCGAAAUGCGAUAAGUAAUGUGAAUUGCAGAAUUCAGUGAAUCAUCGAAUCUUUGAACGCACAUUGCGCCCCUUGGUAUUCCGAGGGGCAUGCCUGUUCGAGCGUCAUC